GGGAUUGCGGCUCAGAGGUAGAAUGCACGCCUAGCAUGUGUGAGGCACUGGGUUCGAUCCUCAGCAUCACA
rnacentral:tRNA from 1 species